rnacentral:rRNA from 1 species
CCUACGGGGGGCAGCAGUGAGGAAUAUUGGUCAAUGGGCGCGAGCCUGAACCAGCCAAGUCGCGUGAGGGAAGACGGUCCUAUGGAUUGUAAACCUCUUUUGUCGGGGAGCAAAAGACGCCACGCGUGGCGUUCCGAGAGUACCCUAAGAACAAGCAUCGGCUAACUCCGUGCCAGCAGCCGCGGUAAUACGGAGGAUGCGAGCGUUAUCCGGAUUUAUUGGGUUUAAAGGGUGCGCAGGCGGAAGAUCAAGUCAGCGGUAAAAUUGAGAGGCUCAACCUCUUCGAGCCGUUGAAACUGGUUGUCUUGAGUGAGCGAGAAGUAUGCGGAAUGCGUGGUGUAGCGGUGAAAUGCAUAGAUAUCACGCAGAACUCCGAUUGCGAAGGCAGCAUACCGGCGCUCAACUGACGCUCAUGCACGAAAGUGUGGGUAUCGAACAGGAUUAGAUACCCUAGUAGUC